UACGUAGGGCGCAAGCGUUGUCCGGAAUUAUUGGGCGUAAAGAGCGCGUAGGCGGUUUGUCGCGUCUGCUGUGAAAACCUAAGGCUCAACCUUGGGCUUGCAGUGGGUACGGGCAGGCUAGAAUUCGGUAGGGGAGACUGGAAUUCCUGGUGUAGCGGUGAAAUGCGCAGAUAUCAGGAGGAACACCGGUGGCGAAGGCGGGUCUCUGGGCCGAUAUUGACGCUGAGGAGCGAAAGCGUGGGGAGCAAACAGG
rnacentral:rRNA from 1 species